rnacentral:rRNA from 1 species
AUUGAACGCUGGCGGCAGGCCUAACACAUGCAAGUCGAGCGAGCGGCGGACGGGAGAGUAAUGUCUGGGACACUGCCUGAUGGAGGGGGAUAACUACUGGAAACGGUAGCUAAUACCGCAUACCAUCAGAUGUGCCCAGAUGGGAUUAGCUAGGAGGUGGGGUAAUGGCUCACCUAGGCGACGAUCCAUAGCUGGUCUGAGAGGAUGAACAGCCACACUGGAACUGAGACACGGUCCAGACUCCUACGGGAGGCAGCAGUGGGGAAUAUUGCACAAUGGGCGCAAGCCUGAUGCAGCCAUGCCGCGUGUAUGAAGAAGGCCUUCGGGUUGUAAAGCACUUUCAGCGAGGAGGCGUUACCCGCAGAAGAAGCACCGGCUAACUCCGUGCCAGCAGCCGCGGUAAUUC